GCUCACUUUGGCAGACCAAAUACAAAAAUUGGAACAAUACAAAAAGAUAAGCAUAGUCCCUACACAUGGAUGACACACAAAUUUGUGAAGUUUUCCAUAUUUCU